rnacentral:tRNA from 1 species
AAUGAAAUGGCUGAGCAAAAUAGGCAUUAGAUUGUAAAUCUAAGAACGAGAAAAUAUCUCUUUCAUUA